rnacentral:lncRNA from 1 species
UUUUUUUUUUUUUUUUUUUUAAUAAUUCACCAAAAUCUUAAUAAACUGUUUUGUCUGAACCACAGGGAGAAAUGAAAGGCUUUUCUAUGUAGUGACUCACUGGAUUAUUGAAAACAACUAUGUGGCUGUAACUGUUUGCCUUCCUGAUAUAUCUUUCUCCUCUGUUUUUAAUAACGAGAUCACUGUAGAGCUUUGAUGAAGAAUGAAAUUUCUUUCUUUUCCAGAUUUGAUUUUUUGACAGAAAUAUUUACGUGGGUUAGAGAAAUGCAUCUAAAAUGACACAGCUCAAGUCUACCAGGAUCAGAUUUUUACAUACACGAGUUGCAGAAAUCUGCCUGCCCAUCUUAAUUCUCAUAAUUUAUCCCCUUGUGUGUUUUUUCCUUCUGUGGAUCAGACAAUGAAUUUUUCCUCCCUUUUUGUGAAUAAGCCUCUCUCAGAAAUGAGACACAUGGCUUUAACUUCUGGGGGAAGCGUUGGCACCUCUGCCAAGGAAAGGGAUGUGAAUUGAUGGGCUGCUCUGCUCUGGAACAUUAAGCAGAUCACACUCCCACUGCAAAGUGCCAUUGUCAACAUUAAACCCUCUUGUUAAUAGCCCACUGGUUUGGGUUUUUUCUGUUUGUUUUCCUUUUCAAGUGUAUCUACAGUUAACUGCAAGGAAAAAACCCAAACUGCAGAACAGUGCCGAGAAGGGUCUCCCUCCUAAAUAGCCUCUCAGGUAGCUGCUGUAAGCUCUCCUCUCUCCAUAGGUAGGAAGCAGGAGUGUGGCUGUCUUAACCCAUCUCCAACACCAUUACAGACAGUAGAUGAUGUUUUUAAAAAAUGAAUUAUUUGCUAUGGGAUUCAGGAGGACAUUGUGUGUUUUGGUGCUGCUUGACAUGCUGACAAGCAGGGGAAAAAUGUUGCCCUGUAAACUUGGCUGUCUCUGUUGAUUGAGAGAUGUCUUAUGGAAAGGUACUAGUCAGUGUAAACCCCAGGAUACCCAACAAAGAGAGAUUUCAAUAAACAUAGAGAGCCAUUAAAGUAGCUCACCCUCUCUUCACAGGCUCAGGUGUAAAGAGAGAUGCUACCUAUGCAUUUCUGUUGAUCUCCAUGCUAAACAAAGCCACAAGCACAUGGAGCAAGUAGCAUUUCAGAUAUCACCAUGUUCCUUUCAAUUAGCCUGGAAAACCUGUCCAGGGCUGAGCCCUCUCCCACUGAAACUCCAGUUUAGCAUCACUGACACAGAGAGACAGAUAUUCCCUCCAUUGUGCAAUUUGGGGUGGAUUUUUUCCCCCCACUAUGCAGAACAGGUGAACAACUUUCUUCUUCUUAGGCAUUUACAAGACUUUUUAAAGAUCAAAGCAACCAAGCAACCAGGUAAAACAAACUGCACCUGCCAGCCCGUUGGACCACUGUAAAAUUCAGUGCUGGAAGGGACUUUCUCCAGAACAGUCUCCUGGCCUUCACAAGGCAUUCACCUUAGUCUUCCUAAUGACCUCUCUGCAUGUAGCUCUAUUGGCAGAGCAAGGCUUGGGGAGCCAUCAAGGGAAGGUGAUGGUACAAAUGUCCCCACCUUUGUAAAUAAAAUAUCUCACACAAUACAGGGCUGCCAAUGGUUGGUUUUCUGGCUCUCACACAUCUACUCCUCUUUUGGAGGAAGCUGAGAGUGCAAAGGGAGCAGAGCCUGCAAUGAAUCCAUCAGCUCAAAAGCAGGAUUCUAAACUGGAGAUAAUCCUUGUCUUCUCAAAACUUUAACCUAAGGGAGCACAAAAGGAAAAGUAAUCAUCUCUUGUUGGUCAAUCCCUUUGCUCAGUGUCGCAAAUAUCACAGAAAGAGAGGCCAUCAGCACGGUUUGCUUUAGAUCAGGAAUAACUCCUGUUCCAGCCAUUGCUGGGGGCUGUUAAGGCCUUCAGGUUUUUGAUGGAUUGAGGAAAGCCUUGACAAUGCAGACAACUGCAGUGAAAUAAGAGGCUGGCUCAAACAUUAAUGACCCACUGAUUCUAUGUGAGACAAAGAGAUGAUGGCACUGUCUGCCUUGGCAAGACCUCUCCCUUCACCGCCCUUGGUAGGCAUCCCUUCAGUGACUGCAAGGGGCAGAGCUGGUCCCUCAAAGUUUUCUUCCUUCCCCCCUACUCCCAACUCCCGUCCUUGUCAUAAAGAGUAGGAAUCAAAAACAAGCCUGUGGCUUUGCUAGCAUAGCAGAAGAAAAAUCAAUCUCCUUGUUGACCUGGUGAAAGAAAGGUGGAGUACCUGAAGUUCAGUUUUCCCAUCUCCAGAUGCCGCUUACACUGAUAGGCAAACUUUCACAGAAGAAGGAGAGUAAUCUGCAAGUGCUCUGCUGUAGUGUGGAUUCAUCUGUCCAAAAGCAGCAGAUAAAGGUGAAGGCAGCUCACUUCCACACUCACUCCCUAGUUUGCAUCUAGAGAAAGUUUUGAAAUUUGGGAAAGAAAAGAAGAUAAUUUGCAACCAUGAAAAAUGCGAUAAAACAAAGCAGUGUAGGGAAAGGGAAACUGAGCAAAGCAAAAAAAACUGGCACAUUUUUACCUGUUGAUGUUUCUGUCACCAAUGGGGCUUUUUAUUCUCUUCAAGCCAGGCAAAACCUGAGGUGUAACCUCUCCUCCAGGGCUCGAUAUCCAGAGGAGUCACCUCAGGGAGCACGUGGCAGAGGUGGCCGUGAUGCUGAGCUUUGGCUGGGAGUCCUCUCAGGAACACGACGGGUGUGGUGAGGCAUCACGGAGCUCUUGGCUGCAUCAGCUGCCCACCUGUGAUUGCAGGGAUGCUCAAUUGGCAAAGAGUCACCCUUCCAGCGGUGGGAUGCUUCAUAAACUGCUGGAAAGUCUGGGAAAGAGGUCACAAACACUGCUGGGAAGGUCUGGGAAACACCUCAAAAGAAAAGGAGAAAUGGGAAAGAAGAAUAGAAAAGAAAAAAGAAAAA